UGUAGACUUAUAUAGUUCGCUCUUUAUCCAAUGAACGUUUGUUCAAGUUUACUUUGGAGAUCAUGUUAUCUCAUUUACUCAAGGAAGUAAAAAAAAUUAAAGAUAAAUGGAAGUUAUAAAUAAAUAUGCUUAGACGAAAUUUUUCCCAAAUAGUUGAUUUUAGUUAAGAUUUAUUCCUCUACUUGUCAAUUGAAUAUUUUAUAAAACCUUCAACUUGGCAAGACGUUUCUAGAAUAAAAAUGGUUAAGAUGUAAAAGAAAAAACUGAAGAGUACUAAGACGAACUAUAGACGACGCAGUGGGAAUUCAAUAUAAGGUAUCAAAAAUUAUAAGAAGUUUGGAGACUGUUCAUCAUCAUGAUCAUCAAGACCAAAAUCUAGCUAGCUUUACCAAGACUAGAAGGAAAAGACUAUAUCAACAUGAAAAUAGUUGAUGACAAACAAUUGUCCAGCCACUCAAAAACUUGUCUACAAUUGCUGAAAAACAAACUUGAAAGUAAUAAGUAAAGCUAAUAUUAUUUCCAAA